rnacentral:ncRNA from 1 species
UCUCGACAAAGGCAAAACUGGUGAAAGCCAGCGACGCAAAGCUACAGGGGCUACAGUGUAAAAACACAAAGCCAGCCAGCUACCGAA